AACCAGAGCUACUAGGCUAGUCAAGACAAGGCUAAUUAAGAAUUUAAAGUACCUAUCCGUAAAUAAUGGAGUUCUCUAGACCGAGGCGCUAAGGAUGAAAAGAAAAAAGGCUCGGUCGUAGUCGUUGGAACGAACUCGGUAACAAUGACCAGUCAUUAGUUAAGCUGGCUUGGCUUACGCUUCCUUCCCUCGAGGACAAAGACCCUCUCCCUGACAGUAGGGGUAGCGCCAUAGACUCUCUCUUUGGCUUAGAGGUCGCUUCAACGGCUGAGCUGCUUAGGCUUGGUGUACCAGGAAAAUGCAUUAUAUAGUGCAGCAUCUUUCUUUCAGACUGCUUUACUUAGGAUGGAGUCCUUGCUUAGCCGAGCUGGAAGCUAUACUCUAGGCGGGCUGAUAAUCCUCUUCUUUUUAUUCCGGGAAUGAGCUGUUGUAAGGCCUUGUCUUUUUCGAAACCUAAAAAAAGAAAGAUGCACUUUUUUUCUGGAAUAGGUGAAUCCAUGCUUCUUUAUUUCCUUCCCGAGUUGAGAACAGAGGACAAUCCCACCCUAGCUAUUGGACUUUGAUCCUUAUCGACUUUGACCGAAAGAGCAAUUCUUUUCCUGAGACUGGGAAGCGUAAGGCCGGAAAGAAAGUCUUGUACGAGGUUCAGUUCAGGCAUAGCUACUGGAAAAGAAGUCAUGCCUCAUUCUUAUUUAUGUAGAUGGGCAAUCAAUCACCAAUGGCUGAAAUGAGAAAGAAAGGGCUUCGCUAUUAAUCCGUAACGACGUACCGACUGGCUCUCCGAUAGACUCGUAGAUAGAAUGGCCUUUCAUCGACCCCUUUCUACUCACCCAGGAACCGAGGAGACAAAGAAAGAUAGAAGAAGAAUUCUUAAUUUUUUCGCCCGAGGGUUCCUUUAGAGAAGAACCACGCUAAAUAGA
rnacentral:lncRNA from 1 species